rnacentral:rRNA from 1 species
GACGAACCUUGCAAACGUUAUUCGGAAUCACUGGGCUUAAAGGGUGCGUAGGCGGUGCGGAAAGUUGGGUGUGAAAUCCCUCAGCUUAACUGAGGAACUGCGCUCAAAACUUCCGUGCUAGAGGGAGAUAGAGGUGAGCGGAACUUAGGGUGGAGCGGUGAAAUGCGUUGAUAUCCUAAGGAACACCGGUGGCGAAAGCGGCUCACUGGAUCUCUUCUGACGCUGAGGCACGAAAGCUAGGGGAGCAAACGGG